rnacentral:rRNA from 1 species
GACGAACGCUGGCGGCGUGCUUAACACAUGCAAGUCGAACGGAAAGGCCCCUUUGGGGGUACUCGAGUGGCGAGCGGGGGAGUAACACGCGAGUAACCUUCCCUUGACUUCGGGAAUACCUCAGGAAACUGGGGCUAAUUCCGGCUAGGGAUCCGUGCUGCAUGGUGGGGGUUGGUAAGCUUCAGCGGUUUUGGAUGGACUGGCGGCGUAUCAGCUUGUUGGUGGGGUAGUGGCUUACCAAGGCGUGGACGGGUAGCUGGACUGAGAGGGUGACCGGCCACACUGGGACUGAGGUAAGGCCCAGACUCCUACGGGAGGCAGAAGGGGGGAAGAUUGAACCAUGGGCGGAGGCCGGGUGCAGCAACGCCGCGGGCGGGAUGGCGGCCUUAGGGUUGUAAACCGCUUUCAGCAGGGGCGAAGCUUGUGGUGACGGUACCUGCAGAAGAAGCACCGGCUAACUACGUG